UACGUAGGGUGCGAGCGUUAAUCGGAAUUACUGGGCGUAAAGCGUGCGCAGGCGGUGAUGUAAGACAGGUGUGAAAUCCCCGGGCUUAACCUGGGAACUGCAUUUGUGACUGCAUCGCUGGAGUGCGGCAGAGGGGGAUGGAAUUCCGCGUGUAGCAGUGAAAUGCGUAGAUAUCGGGAGGAACACCAGUGGCGAAGGCGACUACCUGGCCUGUUCUUGACGCUGAGGCGCGAAAGCUAGGGGAGCAAACGGG
rnacentral:rRNA from 1 species